ACCAAUUCUGGGGGAUGAUCAGUUCCUCUUGGCAUAAUGGCUCGGACGCCAUAUUGAAAUGUGGCCUAUCCUGAUCGAUGGCUUCCUUCCCAGUGCCAUUCUGAUCCUGGAAACACCACAUAUAUAU
rfam:Punica granatum cultivar Dabenzi scaffold59, whole genome shotgun sequence.